AAACUGCAGUUGUAAUCCAGGAUUCACGGGCCUGUAGGGGCUCAGACUUCAAAUUGAACCGCGCCUCGGCGGCAGCCACAGGUGUAAUACACGAGGCCCAGGUACCAGAAGGUGUCCAGCAGGGCCUUGGCUGCGCCCUAGAAGCCGAGGUCCAGCCGCUGCGCGCCCAGGUUCAUCUCAUUGGUGGACGCUGCGGGCCCGCGAGUUCGGAGCAGCGCGUGUAUCUGUGGGUCUUUGGGGCUGGCCUCGCUAGCCUACCAGCUUCCUUUCGGUGAUGUUGCUACCGCCAGGCUCCUGACCCCGGCUUGCCGCCGAGCGCCCCUGGCGCCCGUUACCGAGGUGGCUGCGCAGAAGGAGUGGCUGUGGGGCUGUGAUCUCUCCUAGAACCUCAGAGGCAUGAAGCUAGAAUAUCUUCCCCUUCAAGGAGAAUAAGCCAAG
rnacentral:lncRNA from 1 species